rnacentral:rRNA from 1 species
ACGAACGCUGGCGGCGUGCUUAACACCUGCAAGUCGAACGGGCCUGUCUUCUUUUUUGGGGGUGGGUUGAGUGGCGAACGGGUGAGUAUCACGUGAGUAACCUGCCCUUCGGUCCUGGAUAACCGCUUGAAAGGGCGGCUAAUACGGGGUGGUCCGGUUGGUCCGCAUGGGCUGGUCGGGAUAGAUUCACUGUUUUUGGUGUUUCGGCGGGGGAUGGGCUCGCGGCCUAUCAGCUUGUUGGUGGGGUGAUGGCCUACCAAGGCGGUGACGGGUAGCCGGCCUGAGAGGGUGGGCGGCCACACUGGGACUGAGAUACGGCCCAGACUCCUGCGGGAGGCAGCAGUGGGGGGUAUUGCACAAUGGGCGGAAGCCUGAUGCAGCGACGUCGCGUGAGGGAUGGAGGCCUUCGGGUUGUGAACCUCUGUUUCCGGUGGUGAAGGCCCUGUCCGUGUGGUGGGGUUGACGGUAGCCGGGGAUGAAGCGCCGGCUAACUACGUG